AGCGAACGCUGGCGGCAGGCCUAACACAUGCAAGUCGAACGAACCCUUCGGGGUUAGUGGCGGACGGGUGAGUAACACGUGGGAACGUGCCUUUAGGUUCGGAAUAACUCAGGGAAACUUGUGCUAAUACCGAAUGUGCCCUUCGGGGGAAAGAUUUAUCGCCUUUAGAGCGGCCCGCGUAUGAUUAGCUAGUUGGUGAGGUAAAGGCUCACCAAGGCUACGAUCAGUAGCUGGUCUGAGAGGAUGACCAGCCACAUUGGGACUGAGCCACGGCACAAACUCCUACGGGGGGCAGCGGUGGGGAAUCUUGCGCAAUUGGCGAAAGCCUGACGCAGCCAUGCCGCGUGGAUGAUGAAGGUCUUAGGAUUGUAAAAUCCUUUCACCGGUGAAGAUAAUGACUGUAGCCGGAGAAGAAGCCCCGGCUAACUUCGUGCCAGCCGCCGCCGUAACAC
rnacentral:rRNA from 1 species